GGCUAAAACAGUCAGGAUGUUGGCUUAGAAGCAGCCAUCAUUUAAAGAAAGCGUAAUAGCUCACUGAUCGAGUCGUCCUGCGCGGAAGAUGUAACGGGGCUAAGCCAGUCACCGAAGCUGCGGAUAUUUUUCCUGUGAUUUAUCACGGGAUCGAUAUGGUAGGAGAGCGUUCUGUAAGCCUGCGAAGGUGUCUUGUAAAGGAUGCUGGAGGUAUCAGAAGUGCGAAUGCUGACAUGAGUAGCGAUAAUGCGGGUGAAAAGCCCGCACGCCGUAAGCCCAA
rnacentral:rRNA from 1 species